CCUACGGGUGGCAGCAGUGGGGAAUAUUGGGCAAUGGAGGCAACUCUGACCCAGCAAUGCCGCGUGAGUGAUGAAGGUAAUUUUAUUGUAAAGCUCUUUUCUUUGGAACGAAUAAAUGACGGUACCAAAGGAAUAAGCCCCGGCUAACUACGUGCCAGCAGCCGCGGUAAUACGUAGGGGGCAAGCGUUGUUCGGAAUGACUGGGCGUAAAGGGUGUGUAGGUGGGUUGAUAAGUUAGAUCUGUAAUACCCAGGGCUUAACUCGGGUGCUGCAUCUAAAACUGUUAGACUUGAUUACGGGAGGUGAUAGUGUAAUUCCUAGUGUAGCGGUGGAAUGCGGUGAUAUUAGGAGGAACUUCACUGGCUCGUGUGACUAUCUGGACAGCAACUGACACUUAGUCACGAAAGCGUGGGGAGCAAACAGGAUUAGAUACCCCAGUAGUC
rnacentral:rRNA from 1 species